GCUUACGGCCAUACCACCCUGAGAACGCCCGAUCUCGUCUGAUCUCGGAAGCUAAGCAGGGUCGGGCCUGGUUAGAACUUGGAUGGGAGACCGCCUGGGAAUACCAGGUGCUGUAAGCC
rnacentral:rRNA from 1 species